GCCAGGCACUGUGGCAUGUGCCUGUAGUCCCAGUUACCCAGGUGGCUGAGGCAGGAGGAUCACUUGAUCCCAGGGAGUUCUGGGCUGUAGUGCACGAUUGGGUGUUCACACUAAGUUCGGCAUCAAUAUGGUGACCUCCUGUAGUGAGGGAUCACUAGGUUGCCUAAAGAGGGGUGAGCCAGCUCAGGUCAGAAACGGAGCAGGUCAAAACUCCCAUCUGAUCAAUAGUGGGAUUGCCCCUUUGAGUAUCCACUCCACUCAAGCCUGGGCAACAUAGUGAGAUCUCUUCUCU
rnacentral:SRP_RNA from 1 species